UACAGAGGGUGCGAGCGUUAAUCGGAAUUACUGGGCGUAAAGCGUGCGUAGACGGUUAUGUAAGUCAGGUGUGAAAGCCCCGGGCUCAACCUGGGAAUGGCAUUUGAGACUGCAUAGCUAGGGUGCGGAAGAGGGAAGCGGAAUUUCCGGUGUAGCGGUGAAAUGCGUAGAUAUCGGAAGGAACAUCAGUGGCGAAAGCGGCUUCCUGGUCCAGCACCGACGUUCAGGCACGAAAGCGUGGGGAGCAAACAGG
rnacentral:rRNA from 1 species